CCCGCGGCUCCGCUCCAUCCUGGAGCUCUGCUCUGUCAGCCUGCUCCAUCCUGGAGCUCUGCUCUGUCCUGGAGCUCUGCUCCAUCUGUCAGCCCGCUCCAUCCUGCAGCUCUGCUCUGUCCUGCAGCUCUGCUCCAUCCUGGAGCUCUGCUUUGUCCUGCAGCUCUGCUCUGUCUGUCAGCCUGCUCCAUCCUGCAGCUCUGCUCCAUCUGUCAGCCCGCUCCGUUCUGGAGCAUUGCUUCAUCGCGGAGCUCUGUCUGUCAACCUGCUCCGUCCUGGAGCAUUGCUCCAUCCUGGAGCUCUGCUCCAUCUGUCAGCCUGCUCUGUCCUGGAGCUCUGCUCCAUCCAUCAGCCCACUCCAUCCUGGAGCUCUGCUCUGUCCAUCAGCCCGCUCUGCCUGUCAGCCCACUCCGUCCUGGAGCUCUGCUCAUCUCGCCUCUCCGAAGGGCCCAGCCAGUGGUGCCRGCCGGGGCUUCCCAGUGGGAAGCAGUCCCGGAACCCCAGGCAGCCGGAGGGAACCAGGGAAUACCGUCUUCCCCGGAGCUGUGCUAGUGACUGGGCUAGAGCCAGGGCUGUCACCGCGCCUUGGAAAAAAGGCAAAGCCACCGGCGGACUGCCUGAGCCUGCCCGAGCUAACGUCCCCUCAGCCACGGGACGCAGAGCCACAGGAUGGGCCUUGGCUCGGGGAGGGUGACGGGGGGACAUCCAGCGGUGACAGGCCUGGUGACAGGUCUGGGGGAUGACAGGAGGGACACUGGGCAGUGACAGACCUGCGGGAGGUGGCAUUAGGGACACUGGGCAGUGGCAGGCCUGGAGCUGGUGACAGGGGGAACACCAGGUCUUGGCAGACCCAGUGGGGGGGACAGGAGGGACACUGUGUGGUGGCAGACCCAGGAGAGUGACAUCAGGGACACUGGGCAGUAGCAUGCACCCAGGGGGGUGACACUGAAGACACUGCGUGGUGGCAGGCCCAGAGCUGGUGACAUUGUGGACACGGGGCACGGCAGGCCCAUGGGGGGGUGACACUGGUGACACAAGAUGGCGGCCAGUCCAG
rnacentral:lncRNA from 1 species